CCGCGAGGCACACUUUCCGGCCUCCUCUAAUCGCUUGUGGACCCCUUGCCUACACCUCACACUCCGAAGUACCCUGGCCGCGAGUACUCGCACACACACACACACACACACGCAUAUAUAUAUAGGGCACACUGCUCACACCUCUCGCACCCCAUCAAGAGCGAAUGGGGCAGUACACACGCGACGAGUGGUCACUGUAGCGGCGCUGCUUCGCUGCAUACCCCCCGAUGCCACGCGUCGCGCUCGGUGUGCGCGUGCCGGGCUCGGGUCUGGAUGGGCGGUCGCAUGCUCACGGUCUGCGGACCCGAUGGCGAGGGGGUCUCCCUCGACGAGCGCACCCGCGUCUCCGUGCAGAUCGCACCCGGGGUCACCCUGGGGGACUUGACGCAGGCGUCUGCGACGACGGCUGCAGGAAGCGCAGGGCUUGUCGGCGCGGAUGCAUUCCACGCUGGCGCACCGGGCACAUGUAGCAAUGGCAGGUCCAGGCUGCGCCUUCUACGUAGCCCCCCUGCUAAAAACGAAAGGAAAUGCACGAUUUCCCCUCUUCUCACCUGCGUGCGAUUUUAUCCUGUUUUUCGUUUCCAUGGCUCACACACGCACACACACACACACACACACACACACACACACGUAUGCUCCUGCCCCCUCCCCGACCAUUGGCUUCACCCACUCGCUAUUGAGUGCUCGACGAUAUCGGUGAGUACACCUGCACUUUUGUCAACCAGAAACGAAGGACACAACAGAGGCGAAAGAAAAAAGAAACGUUGCUCUUUCCCUACCCUGCUCAGAGGCGGAAUGUGUCUCUGUCGGCCGACACCGACGAAGAAGCGGGGAGGGGUAUCGCGGGGAAGCGCGAGCGACGUGCUUGCUUUGUGCGCCGACGUAUGUCACCAUGCAUGCGUGAGUUCUCCCUCAUUGCACUUCCUCACUGCUCUCUCUCUCUGUGGCCAUGGUGCCCCAUCUCUCUAUCACUGCGUCUUCGUUGCUGCACUCUCUUUCCGCCAACUUCCUCAACGCCUCACCCUGCCCUCACACUCGCCUGCUUCACUGCGUUGACGCAAAG
rnacentral:misc_RNA from 1 species